GACAGAGGGUGCAAACGUUGUUCGGAAUUACUGGGCGUAAAGCGUGUGUAGGCGGUCCUCUAAGUCGGGUGUGAAGGCCCUGGGCUCAACCCAGGAAGUGCACUCGAAACUGGAGGGCUAGAGUAUCGGAGAGGUUGGUGGAAUUCUCGGUGUAGAGGUGAAAUUCGUAGAUAUCGAGAGGAACACCGGUGGCGAAGGCGGCCAACUGGACGAAUACUGACGCUGAGACACGAAAGCGUGGGGAGCAAACAGG
rnacentral:rRNA from 1 species